UCCUGGUUCCCCCAGGCAGUCCCGCUAGAGUCCCCUACUUAAAGAUGGUAACUAGCGGCAAGGGUUGCGCUCGUUAAAGGACUUAACCCAACAUCUCACGACACGAGCUGACGACAGCCAUGCAGCACCUGUGUAAUUGUCUGGUUUAACCCAGAACUCCCUAUUUCUAGGGACAGCAAUUACAUGUCAAGCCUAGGUAAGGUUCCUCGCGUAGUGUCGAAUUAAACCACAUGUUCCACCGCUUGUGCGGACCCCCGUCAAUUCCUUUGAGUUUUAAUCUUGCGACCGUACUCCCCAGGCGGAUCACUUAACGCGUUAGCUUCGACACGGAUCGUGCUAGGCACAACCCACAUCUAGUGAUCAUCGUUUACGGCGUGGACUAC
rnacentral:misc_RNA from 1 species